CUGGUUGAUYCUGCCAGUAGUCAUAUGCUUGCUCAAAGAUUAAGCCAUGCAUGUCUAAGUUCACACUGUCUCACGGUGAAACCGCGAAUGGCUCAUUAAAUCAGUCGAGGUUCCUUAGAUGACACGAUCCUACUUGGAUAACUGUGGCAAUUCUAGAGCUAAUACAUGCUUACCAAGCUCCGACCCUCGCGGAAAGAGCGCUUUUAUUAGUUCAAAACCAAUCGUCGUUGCCCUUCACGRGGCGCGGCGUUCCCACUGGUGACUCUGGAUAACUUUGUGCUGAUCGCAUGGCCUUAYGUGCCGGCGACGCAUCUUUCAAAUGUCUGCCCUAUCAAAUGUCGAUGGUACGUGACAUGCCUACCAUGUUUGUAACGGGUAACGGGGAAUCAGGGUUCGAUUCCGGAGAGGGAGCAUGAGAAACGGCUACCACAUCCAAGGAAGGCAGCAGGCGCGCAACUUACCCACUCCCGGCACGGGGAGGUAGUGACGAAAAAUAACAAUACGGGACUCUAUCGAGGCCCCGUAAUUGGAAUGAGUACACUUUAAACCCUUUAACGAGGAUCUAUUGGAGGGCAAGUCUGGUGCCACGAGCCGCGGUAAUUCCAGCUCCAAUAGCGUAUAUUAAAGUUGUUGYAGUUAAAAAGCUCGUAGUUGGAUCUCAGGUGCAGGCGGGCGGUCCGGCUCGCGCCGGUUCACUGCCCGUGUUCCUGCCCUACCGUCUGCCGGCUCUCUCCCGUGGGUGCUCUUCGCUGACGGUCCCGGGUGGCCGGCGCGUUUACUUUGAAAAAAUUAGAGUGUUCAAAGCAGGCCUCGGCUGCCUGAAUAAUGGUGCAUGGAAUAAUGGAAUAGGACCUCGGUUCUAUUUUGUUGGUUUUCGGAACAGAGGUAAUGAUUAACAGGGACAAACGGGGGCAUUCGUACUGCGGCGUUAGAGGUGAAAUUCUUGGAUCGCCGCAAGACGAGCUGCUGCGAAAGCAUUUGUCAAGAAUGUUUUCAUUAAUCAAGAACGAAAAGUCAGAGGCGCGAAGACGAUCAGAUACCGUCGUAGUUCUGACCAUAAACGAUGCCGACUAGCGAUCCGCAGGAGUUGCUUCGAUGACUCUGCGGGCAGCUUCCGGGAAACCAAAGUGUUUGGGUUCCGGGGGAAGUAUGGUUGCAAAGCUGAAACUUAAAGGAAUUGACGGAAGGGCACCACCAGGAGUGGAGCCUGCGCUUAAUUUGACUCAACACGGGAAAACUCACCCGGUCCGGACACUGUAAGGAUUGACAGAUUGAUAGCUCUUUCUUGAUUCGGUGGGUGGUGGUGCAUGGCCGUUCUUAGUWGGUGGAGCGAUUUGUCUGGUUAAUUCCGAUAACGAACGAGACUCUAGCCUAUUAAAUAGUUCGCCGGUCCCUCGAUCGCCGGCGCAACUUCUUAGAGGGACGAGUGGCGUUUAGCCAACGAGAUUGAGCAAUAACAGGUCUGUGAUGCCCUUAGAUGUCCGGGGCCGCACGCGCGCUACACUGAAGGAAUCAGCGUGGAUACCUCCCUGGCCCGAAAGGUUGGGAAACCCGUUGAAUCUCCUUCGUGCUAGGGAUUGGGGCUUGUAAUUCUUCCCCAUGAACGAGGAAUUCCCAGUAAGCGCGAGUCAUAAGCUCGCUUGAUUACGUCCCUGCCCUUUGUACACACCGCCCCUCGCUACUAUCGAUUGAGCGGUUCAGUGAGGGCCUCGGAUUGGUCUCGGUCUGGUACGCAAGUGCCGGCACCGCUGGCCGAGAAGAAGCUCGAACUCGAUCGCUUGGAGAAAGUAAAAGUCGUAACAAGGUUGCYGUAGGUGAACCUGCRGAAGGAUCAUUA
rnacentral:rRNA from 2 species